rnacentral:rRNA from 1 species
AGAGUUUGAUCCUGGCUCAGAAUCAACGCUGGCGGCGUGCCUAACACAUGCAAGUCGAACGCGAAAACCCCGCAAGGGGUUAGUAGAGUGGCAAACGGGUGAGUAACGCGUGGGUGACCUACCUCAGAGUGGGGGAUAACCUUCCGAAAGGAGGGCUAAUACCGCAUGACAUACCGUGGUUGGAUACACGGAUAUCAAAGCCGGGGAUCGCAAGACCUGGCGCUUGGAGAGGGGCCCGCGUCCGAUUAGCUAGUUGGUGAGGUCACGGCUCACCAAGGCGACGAUCGGUAUCCGGCCUGAGAGGGCGGACGGACACACUGGGACUGAGACACGGCCCAGACUCCUACGGGAGGCAGCAGUGGGGAAUUGUUCGCAAUGGGCGCAAGCCUGACGACGCAACGCCGCGUGGAGGAUGAAGACCUUCGGGUCGUAAACUCCUUUCGACCGAGAUGAAUUCCCGCCGGCCUAACAUGCCGGCGGGGUGACAGUAUCGAGGGAAGAAGCCCCGGCUAACUCCGUGCCAGCAGCCGCGGUAAUACGGGGGGGGCAAGCGUUGUUCGGAAUUACUGGGCGUAAAGGGUUCGUAGGUGGCCUGCUAAGUCAGACGUGAAAUCCCUCAGCUUAACUGGGGAACUGCGUCUGAGACUGGUGGGCUUGAGGGCAGGAGAGGAACGUGGAAUUCCAGGUGUAGCGGUGAAAUGCGUAGAUAUCUGGAGGAACACCGGUGGCGAAGGCGGCGUUCUGGACUGCAUCUGACACUGAGGAACGAAAGCCAGGGGAGCAAACGGGAUUAGAUACCCCGGUAGUCCUGGCCCUAAACGAUGAAUGCUUGGUGUGGCGGGUAUCGAUCCCUGCCGUGCCGCAGUUAACGCGUUAAGCAUUCCGCCUGGGGAGUACGGUCGCAAGGCUGAAACUUAAAGGAAUUGACGG